rnacentral:rRNA from 1 species
UACGUAGGGGGCUAGCGUUGUCCGGAAUCAUUGGGCGUAAAGCGCGUGUAGGCGGCUCGGUAAGUCAGAGGUGAAAUCCCGGAGCUCAACUUCGGAAUUGCCUCCGAUACUGCCGUGCUUGAGGACUGGAGAGGAGAUUGGAAUUCACAGUGGAGCAGUGAAAUGCGUAGAUAUUGUGAGGAACACUAGUGGCGAAGGCGAAUCUCUGGACAGUUCCUGACGCUGAGGCACGAAGGCCAGGGGAGCAAACGGG